GUUCUUCUGCGUCUUGUCAAGUCAAUCCCCACGCCUGCAACACAUGCCAGAAAAAAAAUGCGAAUGCGAUGAGUACCGAUCGAAGUCGAUUGGUUCAUUCAGUUCCCAAUUCAAUGCAAUGCAAGAAGUAAUAUAUCCGUUGCACCGGCCGGACCUGGAUCUUGCCGUCGGACGUCCCGACGACGAGGACGUCGCCGUCGGCGUCGACGGCCAUGCACUGGACGCGGCCGCCCGCCUGCAGCGUGCCGAUCCUGGCGAGCUUCUCCCUGGACCAGAUCUCGACGGCGGCGGCCCUGGAGGCGACGUAGACGAGGUCGGCGCUGACGACCAGUGAGCGCGCCUCCGCCGCCGUGGCCAUCGACCCGACGAGGCCGUAGUUGGCGCAGCU
rnacentral:misc_RNA from 1 species